rnacentral:rRNA from 1 species
AGGUAAAUCCGGCUCUUUCUAAGGCUGAGACACGACGUCGAGCACCUACGGGUGUGAAGUCAUUGAUGCCAUGCUUCCAGGAAAAGCCUCUAAGCUUCAGAUUGUAAGGAAUCGUACCCCAAACCGACACAGGUGGUCGGGUAGAGAAUACCAAGGCGCUUGAGAGAACUCGGGUGAAGGAACUAGGCAAAAUGGUACCGUAACUUCGGGAGAAGGUACGCUCUCGACGGUGAAGUCCCUCGCGGAUGGAGCUGACGAGAGUCGCAGAUACCAGGUGGCUGCAACUGUUUAUUAAAAACACAGCACUGU